AACAUCCUGCUUGAAUGGUGGGCCUCAGAACUGUGCAUAGUAUUCGAGCAGCAGUCACACUAGUGCCAAAUACAAAGUGUAUUUCACACAGAAGUUCCACAUCUCGAAAGAAGUUAUGGCAAGUUAAUCAUGCAAAUUGGGCUGAGUCAACCCGAUGAACACUUACAGGUUUAAAGAACAAGGAUACUGGAGGUGACCUUUGCUGCAGCUCGCCAAUAAGGGCACCUAACUCACAACCCUGAUACUGCUUCCCUCAGAUGUCAACAUUUUUUAAGAGCUGAAGUUCUGCCAGUCUUGCACUAUGGAGCUCGCAGAGAGGAGUGUGGAUUCUAUCUUAAAGGAUAUUUUCAGAAAAGCAGCACUGUAGUGCUUAUGACACAUCCCAGCCUUGGAGGAGAAGUCCCCUCUUCCCUACAGAGGAAGUACAGCACAGGCAGUAGCAGCAC